rnacentral:rRNA from 1 species
UUGGAAGCAGCCAUUCAUUUAAAGAGUGCGUAACAGCUCACUAGUCGAGGAGUUUGGCGUGGAUAAUAAUCGGGCAUCAAGUAUCUUACCGAAGCUAUGGGAUCAUUAAUGAUCGGUAGGGGAGCAUUCCACUCUGCGUCGAAGGUGAAGCGUGAGCUUUGCUGGAGCGUGUGGAAAAGCAAAUGUAGGUAUAAGUAACGAUAAAGGGGGUGAGAAACCCCCUCGCCGAAAGACUAAGGUUUCCUGAUCAACGCUAAUCGGAUCAGGGUCAGUCGGGUCCUAAGGCUCAGCCGAACGGCGAGGCCGAUGGCAGAACCGGUUAAUAUUCCGGUACUACCCUUUAGGGUGACGUGGAGACGCAGUCGUGACAAUGCCGCCAGCUGACGGAAUAGCUGGUUAAAGGGUGUAGAAGUUGAUUGUGGCAGGCAAAUCCACCACAAGAUUCGAACCUGACAGUAUGGAGCGUCCUUCCGGACAAUCCAACAGUGCAUGUAAUCAUACUGCCAAGAAAAUCCGCUAAACAUAACCUUCAGGGUACCCGUACCGCAAACGGACACACGUAGUCGGGUUGAAUAUACUAAGGCGCUUGAGUGAUUCACGGUUAAGGAACUAGGCAAAUUGACCCUGUAACUUCGGGAUAAAGGGUCCCAACGAGAGUUGGGCGCAGAGAAUAGGUCCAGGCAACUGUUUAACAAAAACACAGGGCUGUGCCAAAUUGAAAGAUUACGUAUACAGCCUGACACCUGCCCGGUGCUGGAAGGUUAAGAGGAGAUGUCAUCGCAAGAGAAGCAUUGAAUUGAAGCCCCAGUAAACGGCGGCCGUAACUAUAACGGUCCUAAGGUAGCGAAAUUCCUUGUCGGGUAAGUUCCGACCUGCACGAAUGGUGUAAUGAUCUGGACACUGUCUCAACCGUGAGCUCAGUGAAAUUGUAGUAUCGGUGAAGAUGCCGAUUACCCGCGAUGGGACGAAAAGACCCCGUGAACCUUUACUAUAGCUUAACAUUGAAUUUGGGUAAUUGAUGUGUAGGAUAGGCCGGAGACUUUGAAGCGCAGACGCCAGUUUGUGUGGAGUCGCUGUUGAAAUACGGCCCUUUGAUUAUUUGAGUUCUAACCCGUUGUAACGGGGACACUGUUUGGUGGGUAGUUUGACUGGGGUGGUCGCCUCCAAAAGUGUAACGGAGGCUUCUAAAGGUGCCCUCAGGACGAUUGGUAACCGUCCGUAGAGUGUAAUGGCAUAAGGGCGCUUGACUGGGAGACAUACAAGUCGAUCAGGUAGGAAACUAGAGCAUAGUGAUCCGGUGUUUCCGCAUGGAAGGGACAUCGCUCAAAGGAUAAAAGGUACUCCGGGGAUAACAGGCUGAUC